CGGCAUGCCUAACACAUGCAAGUCGAACGAAGCCUUCGGGCUUAGUGGCGCACGGGUGCGUAACGCGUGGGAAUCUGCCCUUGGGUUCGGAAUAACAGUUAGAAAUGACUGCUAAUACCGGAUGAUGUCUUCGGACCAAAGAUUUAUCGCCCAAGGAUGAGCCCGCGUAGGAUUAGGUAGUUGGUGGGGUAAAGGCCUACCAAGCCGACGAUCCUUAGCUGGUCUGAGAGGAUGAUCAGCCACACUGGGACUGAGACACGGCCCAGACUCCUACGGGAGGCAGCAGUGGGGAAUAUUGGACAAUGGGGGCAACCCUGAUCCAGCAAUGCCGCGUGAGUGAUGAAGGCCUUAGGGUCGUAAAGCUCUUUUACCAGGGAUGAUAAUGACAGUACCUGGAGAAUAAGCUCCGGCUAACUCCGUGCCAGCAGCCGCGGUAAUACGGAGGGAGCUAGCGUUGUUCGGAAUUACUGGGCGUAAAGCGCACGUAGGCGGUUAUUCAAGUCAGAGGUGAAAGCCCGGGGGCUCAACCCCGGAACUGCCUUUGAAACUAGAUGACUGGAAUCUUGGAGAGGUCAGUGGAAUUCCGAGUGUAGAGGUGAAAUUCGUAGAUAUUCGGAAGAACACCAGUGGCGAAGGCGACUGACUGGACCAGUAUUGACGCUGAGGUGCGAAAGCGUGGGGAGCAAACAGG
rnacentral:rRNA from 1 species